rnacentral:rRNA from 1 species
UACGGAGGGGGCAAGCGUUGUUCGGAAUUAUUGGGCGUAAAGGGCGCGUAGGCGGCUUCUUAAGUCGGUGGUGAAAUCCUGGAGCUCAACUCCAGAACUGCCUUCGAUACUGGGAAGCUCGAGUCCGGGAGAGGUGAGUGGAACUGCGAGUGUAGAGGUGAAAUUCGUAGAUAUUCGCAAGAACACCAGUGGCGAAGGCGGCUCACUGGCCCGGUACUGACGCUGAGGUGCGAAAGCGUGGGGAGCGAUCCGG